UACGUAGGGUGCGAGCGUUGUCCGGAAUUAUUGGGCGUAAAGAGCUCGUAGGCGGUCUGUCGCGUCUGCUGUGAAAUCCCGAGGCUCAACCUCAGGCUUGCAGUGGGUACGGGCAGGCUAGAGUGCGGUAGGGGAGAAUGGAACUCCUGGUGUAGCGGUGGAAUGCGUAGAGAUCCGGAAGAACACCGGUGGCGAAGGCGGUCUGCUGGGGUAAUGCUGACACUGAUGCGCGACAGCGUGGGGAGCAAACAGG
rnacentral:rRNA from 1 species